UACAGAGGUCCCAAGCGUUGUUCGGAUUCACUGGGCGUAAAGGGUGCGCAGGUGGCGCUUCAAGUUUGAUGUGAAAGCUUCGGGCUUAACCCGGAAAUGGCAUUGAAUACUGGAGUGCUGGAGGUUUGGAGGGGGGACUGGAAUUCUCGGUGUAGCAGUGAAAUGCGUAGAUAUCGAGAGGAACACCAGUGGCGAAGGCGAGUCCCUGGACAACACCUGACACUGAGGCACGAAAGCUAGGGGAGCAAACGGG
rnacentral:rRNA from 1 species